rnacentral:rRNA from 1 species
GUAUGUUUAUUAAUAUAAAGUCUGACCUGCCCACUGAAGUACUUUAAAGGGCCGCGGUAAUUUGACCGUGCGAAGGUAGCAUAAUCAGUAGUCUUUUAAUUGAAGGCUGGAAUGAAUGGUCGGACAAAGAGUUAGCUGUCUUUUAUGUAGAUCUUGAAUUUUACUUUUAGGUGAAAAGGCUUAAAUAUAGUGGGGGGACGAUAAGACCCUAUAAAACUUUACAGAUAUAGUUUGUAUUUUUUGAAUUAAAGUUUAAUAUUGUCCACUGAUUAUCUGUUGUGUUGGGGCGACAAAGAUAUAAUUUUAAUAGCUGUCAAUUUCAUUAAAUAGCGAUAAUUAGUUUAGUUGAUCCUUUGUUAGAGAUUAUAAGAUUAAGUUACUUUAGGGAUAACAGCGUAAUUUUUUCUGAGAGUCCAUAUCGACGAAAAUAGUUGCGACCUCGAUGUUGAAUUAAGAUUUCCCUUAGGUGAAGCCGUUUAAGUGGUGGGUCUGUUCG